UUAGCUUGCUAAUUUGCUGACGAGUGGCGGACGGGUGAGUAAUGCUUGGGAAUCUGGCUUAUGGAGGGGGAUAACUACGGGAAACUGUAGCUAAUACCGCGUAAAAUCUUAGGAUUAAAGGGUGGGACUUUCGAGCCACCUGCCAUAAGAUGAGCCCAAGUGGGAUUAGGUAGUUGGUUAGGUAAAGGCUGACCAAGCCGACGAUCUCUAGCUGGUCUGAGAGGAUGACCAGCCACACUGGAACUGAGACACGGUCCAGACUCCUACGGGAGGCAGCAGUGGGGAAUAUUGCACAAUGGGGGGAACCCUGAUGCAGCCAUGCCGCGUGAAUG
rnacentral:rRNA from 1 species